CACUUCCAGAAGCUCAGUGUAGAGAUGAAUGUUUUAUCCUCCAGUAAUUUGGAGCAAAGUGGAAACCAGAGGUGCUGAGCUGAAUGUGAUCCGAAAGGAGCGUGGAGUUGGGAUCUCUUCCAUGGUCAGACUUCCCUGGGAUAACGAAAGAGGAAGGGUCCAGAAGCACUGGGAGAACCAUAGUGAUAUCAAUCCAGAGGCACAGGGCUGAACAUAAUGUCCAUG